rnacentral:rRNA from 1 species
AGCAGCCGCGGUAAUUCCAGCUCCAAUAGCGUAUAUUAAAGUUGUUGCAGUUAAAAAGCUCGUAGUUGAAUUUCGAGACCGGUUUACUGGUCGUGCUUUUGUACGUACUGGUGUUAUUGGUUUCUCCUUUCUGACGAACUAUAAUGCCAUUAAUUUGGUGUUUUAGGGAAUCAGGACUGUUACUUUGAAAAAAUUAGAGUGUUUAAAGCAGGCUCACGCUUGAAUACAUUAGCAUGGAAUAACGGAAUAGGACGUUUGAUUCUAUUUUGUUGGUUUCUAGGAUCGACGUAAUGAUUAAUAGGGAUAGUUGGGGGCAUUAGUAUUCAAUUGUCAGAGGUGAAAUUCUUGGAUUUAUUGAAGACUAACUACUGCGAAAGCAUUUGCCAAGGAUGUUUUCAUUAAUCAAGAACGAAAGUUAGGGGAUCGAAGACGAUCAGAUACCGCCGUAGUCUUAACCAUAAACUAUGCCGACUA